rnacentral:rRNA from 1 species
GGGUUGUGAGGUUAAGCGACUAAGCGUACACGGUGGAUGCCCUGGCAGUCAGAGGCGAUGAAGGACGUGCUAAUCUGCGAAAAGCGUCGGUAAGGUGAUAUGAACCGUUAUAACCGGCGAUGUCCGAAUGGGGAAACCCAGUGCAAUUCGUUGCACUAUCGUUAACUGAAUACAUAGGUUAACGAGGCGAACCGGGGGAACUGAAACAUCUAAGUACCCCGAGGAAAAGAAAUCAACCGAGAUUCCCCCAGUAGCGGCGAGCGAACGGGGAGCAGCCCAGAGUCUGAAUCAGCUUGUGUGUUAGUGGAACGGUCUGGAAAGUCCGACGGUACAGGGUGAUAGUCCCGUACACCAAAAUGCACAGGCUGUGAACUCGAAGAGUAGGGCGGGACACGUGGUAUCCUGUCUGAAUAUGGGGGGACCAUCCUCCAAGGCUAAAUACUCCUGACUGACCGAUAGUGAACCAGUACCGUGAGGGAAAGGCGAAAAGAACCCCGGCGAGGGGAGUGAAAAAGAACCUGAAACCGUGUACGUACAAGCAGUGGGAGCACCUUCGGGUGUGACUGCGUACCUUUUGUAUAAUGGGUCAGCGACUUAUAUUCUGUAGCAAGGUUAACCGUAUAGGGGAGCCGCAGGGAAACCGAGUCUUAACUGGGCGUUAAGUUGCAGGGUAUAGACCCGAAACCCGGUGAUCUAGCCAUGGGCAGGUUGAAGGUUGGGUAACACUAACUGGAGGACCGAACCGACUAAUGUUGAAAAAUUAGCGGAUGACUUGUGGCUGGGGGUGAAAGGCCAAUCAAACCGGGAGAUAGCUGGUUCUCCCCGAAAGCUAUUUAGGUAGCGCCUCGUGAAUUCAUCUUCGGGGGUAGAGCACUGUUUCGGCUAGGGGGUCAUCCCGACUUACCAACCCGAUGCAAACUACGAAUACCGAAGAAUGUUAUCACGGGAGACACACGGCGGGUGCUAACGUCCGUCGUGAAGAGGGAAACAACCCAGACCGCCAGCUAAGGUCCCAAAGUCAUGGUUAAGUGGGAAACGAUGUGGGAAGGCACAGACAGCCAGGAUGUUGGCUUAGAAGCAGCCAUCAUUUAAAGAAAGCGUAAUAGCUCACUGGUCGAGUCGGCCUGCGCGGAAGAUGUAACGGGGCUAAACCAUGCACCGAAGCUGCGGCAGCGACACUAUGUGUUGUUGGGUAGGGGAGCGUUCUGUAAGCCUGCGAAGGUGACCUGUGAGGGUUGCUGGAGGUAUCAGAAGUGCGAAUGCUGACAUAAGUAACGAUAAAGCGGGUGAAAAGCCCGCUCGCCGGAAGACCAAGGGUUCCUGUCCAACGUUAAUCGGGGCAGGGUGAGUCGACCCCUAAGGCGAGGCCGAAAGGCGUAGUCGAUGGGAAACAGGUUAAUAUUCCUGUACUUGGUGUUACUGCGAAGGGGGGACGGAGAAGGCUAUGUUAGCCGGGCGACGGUUGUCCCGGUUUAAGCAUGUAGGCUGAUUGUCCAGGCAAAUCCGGAUAAUCAAGGCUGAGGUGUGAUGACGAGGCACUACGGUGCUGAAGUAACAAAUGCCCUGCUUCCAGGAAAAGCCUCUAAGCAUCAGGUAACAUCAAAUCGUACCCCAAACCGACACAGGUGGUCAGGUAGAGAAUACCAAGGCGCUUGAGAGAACUCGGGUGAAGGAACUAGGCAAAAUGGUGCCGUAACUUCGGGAGAAGGCACGCUGGUGUGUAGGUGAAGUCCCUGCGGAUGGAGCUGAGACCAGUCGAAGAUACCAGCUGGCUGCAACUGUUUAUUAAAAACACAGCACUGUGCAAACACGAAAGUGGACGUAUACGGUGUGACGCCUGCCCGGUGCCGGAAGGUUAAUUGAUGGGGUUAUCCGUAAGGAGAAGCUCUUGAUCGAAGCCCCGGUAAACGGCGGCCGUAACUAUAACGGUCCUAAGGUAGCGAAAUUCCUUGUCGGGUAAGUUCCGACCUGCACGAAUGGCGUAAUGAUGGCCAGGCUGUCUCCACCCGAGACUCAGUGAAAUUGAACUCGCUGUGAAGAUGCAGUGUACCCGCGGCAAGACGGAAAGACCCCGUGAACCUUUACUAUAGCUUGACACUGAACAUUGAGCCUUGAUGUGUAGGAUAGGUGGGAGGCUUUGAAGCGUGGACGCCAGUCUGCGUGGAGCCAACCUUGAAAUACCACCCUUUAAUGUUUGAUGUUCUAACGUUGGCCCCUGACCGGGGUUGCGGACAGUGUCUGGUGGGUAGUUUGACUGGGGCGGUCUCCUCCCAAAGCGUAACGGAGGAGCACGAAGGUUAGCUAAUCCUGGUCGGACAUCAGGAGGUUAGUGCAAUGGCAUAAGCUAGCUUGACUGCGAGCGUGACGGCGCGAGCAGGUGCGAAAGCAGGUCAUAGUGAUCCGGUGGUUCUGAAUGGAAGGGCCAUCGCUCAACGGAUAAAAGGUACUCCGGGGAUAACAGGCUGAUACCGCCCAAGAGUUCAUAUCGACGGCGGUGUUUGGCACCUCGAUGUCGGCUCAUCACAUCCUGGGGCUGAAGUAGGUCCCAAGGGUAUGGCUGUUCGCCAUUUAAAGUGGUACGCGAGCUGGGUUUAGAACGUCGUGAGACAGUUCGGUCCCUAUCUGCCGUGGGCGCUGGAGAAUUGAGGGGGGCUGCUCCUAGUACGAGAGGACCGGAGUGGACGCAUCACUGGUGUUCGGGUUGUCAUGCCAAUGGCACUGCCCGGUAGCUAAAUGCGGAAGAGAUAAGUGCUGAAAGCAUCUAAGCACGAAACUUGCCCCGAGAUGAGUUCUCCCUGAGACUUUAAGUCUCCUGAAGGAACGUUGAAGACGACGACGUUGAUAGGCCGGGUGUGUAAGCGCAGCGAUGCGUUGAGCUAACCGGUACUAAUGAACCGUGAGGCUUAACCUUACAACGCCGAAG